UUGAUCCACAACAGAUGCAAAUAAUGAUUGGUGACGUAUGCCAGGAACUGUUGAAGGCACAUCACGAAAGAAAGAAAAAGAAUCGGAACAGACCUGGAUCGUUUCAACUAUGGCCCCUGGAGUGCUCCCCGGUUUGUUGAAAUUAUGGCGGCUGUGCCAUACGAGGCCAACCCGAUUUUACUUCCCAAACCGGACUGCUAGUAAGAUUCUGGUGGUGGCCGUUAUGUGUAACCUAUAUCGCUGCCCGGCAACAUUAGUGAGUACUAUCCCGGCGGACUGUACAGUGGCUUCGAAUAUUCCACCCAGAGCUACACUGGAUACGAGGAGCAAAAAAAAAACUGAUCCUGGAAGAACGCCCAAGAUGGCGGAAGGCGUUCAGGUACGGGGCAUUCCAAUCGUUUGCUUCGAAAAAUAUCAUCAACAUUCAGGUGAUGCAUUUCAUCAGUCCCAAAGAAGGCCAAUAAGCCAGCUCAGACAUCCAGCGCGAAAUGAGGAAAAUUCCGAUGAAUAAUAUCAACCAAUUUGUGGCUCCCGACGAUGCCGAAGGCAAACUUUAUAGCUAGCAUUUUUCCCUGCAGGCAAAAACCCUUAUUUAUUCGCGGCAACUGGAGGAAGCAAUCGGUUGUAUAAGGGCCAUCCCAUGCAUGAACCGCAAUCAAUACUUGCUUUUCCAAAUCGCUGAUGACGGCUCACUGCAA